AUCCACAGGUUUCCCAGACUGGUCUCCUCUGAGCUUCAUCAUGUUGACUCUGAGGAUCACAGCACUGAUCCUGAUGGUUGGAAUCACUGCUGAUAUCAUCAGAACCAGAGGAAGCAAAAAGCCACAGAAAGGCAUUAAUGUUCAUGAUGCUGUUGAUGAGGAUGCAGUAGAUUAUGAAAAUGAUGGAGAAUGUUCUGCUGCUGCCACAAUCAGCCGACCUUCAUCUCAUCAAUACAGUUUAUACUAAAGCAACGCUUUAUUAUAUUUUGCUUCACUUUGCAUGCUUAACUAUUUACUUUUUUAUUUCCCAA